CAGAGGUUACUGCUMUSGAGAUUCGACUAAGCCAUGCGAGUUGAAUGUUCUUCGUGAACAUGGCGGACUGCUCAGUAACACGUGGACAACCUACCCUUGGGUCCGGCAUAAUCCUGGGAAACUGGGAAUAAUUCCGGAUAGGUCACCGAUGCUGGAAUGCGCGGUGGCCGAAAGCUCCGGCGCCCGAGGAUGGGUCUGCGGCCUAUCAGGGUUGUAGUGGGUGUAACGUACCUACUAGCCUACGACGGGUACGGGUUGUGAGAGCAAGAGCCCGGAGAUGGAUUCUGAGACACGAAUCCAGGCCCUACGGGGUGCAGCAGGCGCGAAAACUUUACAAUGCGGGAAACCGUGAUAAGGGGAUCUCGAGUGCCAGCAUAUAAUGUUGGCUGUCCAGAUGCCUAAAAAGCAUCUGUUAGCAAGGGCCGGGCAAGACCGGUGCCAGCCGCCGCGGUAACACCGGCGGCCCGAGUGGUAACCGCUAUUAUUGGGUCUAAAGGGUCUGUAGCCGGCCAGGUAAGUCCCUUGGGAAAUCUGGCAGCUCAACUGUCAGGCUGCUAGGGGAUACUGUUUGGCUUGGGACCGGGAGAGGUGAGAGGUACCUUGGGGGUAGGGGUGAAAUCUUGUGAUCCUCGAGGGACCACCAGUGGCGAAGGCGUCUCACCAGAACGGGUCSGACGGUAAGGGACGAAAGCUAGGGGCACGAACCGGAUUAGAUACCCGGGUAGUCCUAGCCGUAAACGAUGCUCGCUAGGUGUCAGUCACGGUGCGACCGUGAUUGGUGCCGUAGGGAAGCCGUGAAGCGAGCCACCUGGGAAGUAUGGCCGCAAGGCUGAAACUUAAAGGAAUUGGCGGGGGAGCACCUACAACGGGUGGAGCCUGCGGUUUAAUUG
rnacentral:rRNA from 1 species